GUAAAGUUCCCCUGCAAAAUUUCGACGUAUGUCCGAAAGUUUGAAAAUUUGUGCACGCCCGUGGGCGUGGGAUGAAGAGGGAGCAGCGAUACCGACGAAAGAAGAACGUUACGUGGUCUAGGUCGUCGAUCCCGAUUGCGGCCAGCAGGACUGUGGAGCUUAGGAGGCGUCGCCCAUCAACAAUCCAGGAGAAACGAUGAACCUCCGCGGAAUAAACAUCAUCUCCUUGAAUGGCGUUCAGGAUAUCCGCCGCGGUGAUCGAUUCGUCGCGGAUCAAGAACUGUUGGACGCUAUCUGCAGCCAAACGGCUCGUUACCGGUAUCAGUUAACCUAACGUUUUUAACUGGAGGAGUUAUUUAGUACACCCGUAAUUAUUGGUCUUUAGUAUUAGGAGGCCUGCUCGGUGUAUCGGACGUCUGUCAGAUAUAUGUGCGUUGAGAGUGACAAAUGGAGGGUGGAAGAUAACGCGCUAGGUUUAAGUUUUGGAAGCGGGGACGAAUUCUGUCCCGACAGAAAUACAGCAAAUGGCCGAGGAGUGAACUUGGCCGCCCGACAAAAGUCGAUCUUCUCAACAUCAGUCCAUGAGGAUAAUGCUCGAUUCACCUGGCGUUCUUCGAACGACCCCUGGAGUUGGGGAAGACCAUUCCCCAUCAGGACCUGGGUAAGCGGUGCCCAGGGAUCCAACGUUCAGUGUACGAGUGCGGAACCAGGGAUCUAAAUACCGUCUUCCCAAGUCCAAAUAGCACACUAACUACGGAAGCGAGAGAGAAAAUUAUAGAUACCUGUAUACUACCUGUACAUUGCUGACUGGUUGACAAAUAUAAGCUGCACUUCAACAACUUUUACUUUAAUUUCAGCACUAUUUGAAGAAAUAACUUCCAAAUAAAGUCCAAAUACCGGCAAAUGCCUACAAACACAUAUCCCGUAUUCAAUCAAAAGUCGAACAAUUCUCGUCGUCCC
rnacentral:lncRNA from 1 species